UACGUAGGGGGCGAGCGUUGUCCGGAAUCAUUGGGCGUAAAGCGCGCGUAGGCGGCCCGGUAAGUCCGCUGUGAAAGUCAAAGGCUCAACCUUUGAAUGUCAGCGGAUACUGCCGGGCUAGAGUCCGGAAGAGGCGAGUGGAACUCCUGGUGUAGCGGUGGAAUGCGCAGAUAUCAGGAAGAACACCAACGGCGAAGGCAGCUCGCUGGGACGGAACUGACGCUGAGGCGCGAAAGCGUGGGGAGCGAACAGG
rnacentral:rRNA from 1 species